GACAGAAAUGUUUUUCNGGUGUGCUGG
rnacentral:piRNA from 1 species